rnacentral:antisense_RNA from 1 species
UGUAAGCAUGGAGAGUACGCUGACACAGUGCCGAGCGCACACAGUCGUCUUUGCCGAAACGGACUACACCGAUCAUCUCAUCCUCUUCGAAACGUCCCAAUGCAUCCGCGAGUCCGGAUGUCACACCGCGCGGUAAAUCGCACUGGGUAAUAUCGCCGUUGACGAUGACUGUCACGUUCUCACCGAGACGUGUC